UCACCCUUAAAUAGACCUUUUAAAAAGCAACCAUCCAAAUCUAGUAUAGGUCUGCACCCUUCUUUCCAACCUCUUUUCAAUGCUUCAAAAAAGACAUAAAACCUCUUGAAAUGUGGUGGAUAUUCAGGUGUGACUCUAUCCACUGCCAUCUUUAUAGUACUUCCAGGAUUCUUUGCAAAUUCAUGUACGAAGUUCUCUGCCAACUUAUCCUUCACCAUUUUCUUGGCCCUUCUACACCUUGUUAUAUUAACAUUGACAUGCAUUCCUGAAGCUACCUUUCUUUGUAUCUCCCUUAACUUUAUUUUUAAGUGGUCCCCAAUAGCAGCUUCAAAA
rnacentral:lncRNA from 1 species